rnacentral:rRNA from 1 species
UACGUAGGGUGCGAGCGUUGUCCGGAAUUAUUGGGCGUAAAGAGCUCGUAGGCGGCUUGUCGCGUCGGAUGUGAAAGCCCGGGGCUUAACUCCGGGUCUGCAUUCGAUACGGGCAGGCUAGAGUUCGGUAGGGGAGAUCGGAAUUCCUGGUGUAGCGGUGAAAUGCGCAGAUAUCAGGAGGAACACCGGUGGCGAAGGCGGGUCUCUGGGCCGAAACUGACGCUGAGGAGCGAAAGCGUGGGGAGCGAACAGG